AACUGCAGCCCCCUGUCUAUCAUGGUCGUGCACUCCUCUGAGGGGAGCGUGAUGUCCACUGGGUUCUCCAAAAGCUCCACCUCAUUCCCAAGCCAGACCCAGUCAUGGGAGUGGGGUAUGUUGCCCUGCUCGCUCACCACAAGCCUUUUGUGUCUGUACUUCCAGGCAAACGCCACGCAGUUGAUAAGGAAGACCAGGAUGGACAGGCAGAAGAUGCAGAGCAGGGCGUACAUGCCGAUCUCCAAGUCUGUCAAGCCCCUGGAGGCCACUGUAAGGCAGCAGCAGGGUUGUGCUCCUGUUGGUCCUGUCCUCUGGGCCAGCAGGGCCCCCACACUGGAGCCACUCCUGGGCUACUCGCUCCUGGCUCCAUUCCCACUCUAUGGAGUUGCUCAGGUGAUCUUUGUAUUCCCAGUUCACACCCUCAAUGUCAUUGCUGCCUCCUCGGUGUUCCUCCUUCAUGCCUGGUGCAAACCUGACCUUGACGCUUCCUUUACCCACAGCAAGAACACUCUUCCUCUUGGUCUUCUGGCAAGGCUCACUGAUCAUCAUCUCCAACUUUAUCAGGGGCCCUUGUCCUUCGCCCUCUGCAACCACAACCGGCCACUGGGACUGCAAGUUUGGCUGGACAGACACCACCAUUUCAUCCAAUGAUGAGACAGUUAUGGAAAAAUCUUUGGAAUCAUAAAUGUCUAAAGGUGUCACGGAGCCAUCACUGAACAAAAUCCAAGAACUGACUAUGGCUUCCUGAGGGAAACAAAAUCAAAGCAUGAUC
rnacentral:lncRNA from 1 species